rnacentral:rRNA from 1 species
UCGAACGAGCGAGAGAGAGCUUGCUUUCUCAAGCGAGUGGCGAACGGGUGACUAUCGCGUGAGGAACCUGCCUCAAAGAGGGGGACAACAGUUGGAAACGACUGCUAAUACCGCAUAAGCCCACAGGUCGGCAUCGACCAGAGGGAAAAGGAGCAAUCCGCUUUGAGAUGGCCUCGCGUCCGAUUAGCUAGUUGGUGAGGUAACGGCCCACCAAGGCGACGAUCGGUAGCCGGACUGAGAGGUUGAACGGCCACAUUGGGACUGAGACACGGCCCAGACUCCUACGGGAGGCAGCAGUGGGGAAUAUUGCACAAUGGGGGAAACCCUGAUGCAGCGACGCCGCGUGGAGGAAGAAGGUCUUCGGAUUGUAAACUCCUGUUGUUGAGGAAGAUAAUGACGGUACUCAACAAGGAAGUGACGGCUAACUACGUGCCAGCAGCCGCGGUAAAACGUAGGUCACAAGCGUUGUCCGGAAUUACUGGGUGUAAAGGGAGCGCAGGCGGGAAGACAAGUUGGAAGUGAAAUCUAUGGGCUCAACCCAUAAACUGCUUUCAAAACUGUUUUUCUUGAGUAGUGCAGAGGUAGGCGGAAUUCCCGGUGUAGCGGUGGAAUGCGUAGAUAUCGGGAGGAACACCAGUGGCGAAGGCGGCCUACUGGGCACCAACUGACGCUGAGGCUCGAAAGUGUGGGUAGCAAACAGGAUUAGAUACCCUGGUAGUCCACACCGUAAACGAUGAUUACUAGGUGUUGGAGGAUUGACCCCUUCAGUGCCGCAGUUAACACAAUAAGUAAUCCACCUGGGGAG